CAGCCGUUCCGCAGCGCGCACGCUCCCCGGGGCGGUUCCUUGGCCCUGCCGGAAGCRCUCUCCCGGCCAUGCCCCGCRUCCCCGGGCUCCUGCGGGUGCGAUUGGCGGCGGGGAGCGGCGGGGCCAUGCCCGGGAAGGGAAAAGCAGCCGCCAAGGGCCCCGGCGAGCCGGGCGCCGCCGCGGGACCGGUGGUGGCGGCGGGCGAUGGCUCCGUGAGGGUGGCGGUGCGWGCCAAGCCCGGUGCCCGCUGCAGCGCUGUCACAGAUGUGACRGCUGAGGCAGUAGGUGUAGCUAUUGCUGCACCUCCAUCGGAAGGGGAGGCCAAUGCAGAGCUGUGUCGUUACCUCUCUAAGGUGCUACAAGUGAAGAAGAGUGAUGUUAUUCUAGACAAGGGAGGUAAAUCACGUGACAAAGUGGUGAAGAUUUUGGUAUCAACRACACCAGAUGAGAUUUUAGAAAAACUGAAAAAAGAAGCUUCCAGUUGACCUGAAACCAGAGCAGGAAAUGGGACAAUGGAUCAUGGAUAUCUGAGGAAACAGCCAUGGACAAUCCUUCAGCUCAGCCAUCUCCUGCCCUUCACUGCCAGGGCUGGAUCAGCACCUUCACUGCCAUCUGCUCUGGGAACAUGAAAAACCCCAAAUCAGCCCUUCUGAGCCCCAGGGCUGGAGAAACAGCAUUUGCUCAUGUUGGCAAUAAAGGGUUGAAUGUUGAUAAUAUUUGUAUCACAAAUGACAUUUGUCUCCCCRGUCUGAUUCUCCAUUAGAGAGCUUCUUGAGAGUAGUUCAGCUUCUAACUAACCUUUMAAAGCACAUCUGCACAUUCCUGUUCCAGCUGCACAGACAGGAUGAAAAAGAGGUUGAAUAGCAGUGAAAACUUAAAAAACUGGAUCUCACAAAUCCCAUUCACCCACAAUGUUGGAGGUUGGAUUUGCCAUUUUCUGCAAUACUACACCACCUGGCUUUUUUUUUUUUUUUUUUUUUUUUAAUGCUUUUCUGCACUGCCAGCGAAGUGGGAUUCACCACACUGUCAUGAAGACAGGCUGAGAGAGCUGGGGAUGUUCAGCCUGGAGAAGAACCUGGGGAGACCUUGGAGCACCUUCCAGGAUCUUCAGGGGCUGCAGGAGAGCUGGAGAGGGACUUUAACAAGGACCUGUAGUGACAGGACAAGGGGAUGGCUUCAAAGGGAAGAGGRAAGUUUAGGUGCUGUUAGGAAGAAAUUCUUUCCUGCAAGGGUGGUGAGACCCUGGCACACGAUGYCCMGAGAAGYUGUGGAUGCCUCAUCCCUGGAAGUGUUCAAGGCCAGGUUGGAUGAGGCRUUGAGUAAYCUGUUCUGUGGRAGGUACAGCAGGGGUUUGGGACUAAAUGAUGUUUGAGGUCCCUUCCAASCUAAACCUUUCUAGGACUCUUUAUUCACUUACUGAAAGAUAAUCAAAAUAAUAAAAUCAUUAUUGGGCUUGASGAAAGGCAACAGAUGAAACAAAUCUGUUCCUUCUGCUGGGUUUCAUUUCAACCUGAGAUGCUACUGCAGAUGGUGAGCAAGAAGAUUAUCCUGGCACAGCCUGACUUCCGUGGCAGAGCUGGCAGUGUCAGGCUCUUUGCAGGAAGAGAUGCACUCUCUCCCUUCCUGCAGGCAGGAAUCUGGGCUGUUUGGCACCUUGCACAGGAUUCUGCUUUAAAAACGAGUUCCACUCAAGGGUACCAACUUGCAGGCUCUCCACAGAGCAGAAGUAAGAACUUUGCAUGAUCUUCUGUCUCCCUUUGUAAAGGCUCCACUGUGUUAAUGAGGGUUCAAAAGAGUGCCUUUCAUCCAGUAGAAUUCCUUAGAGGAAAAGCAAACCUCUUGUGAAAAGAUUUUKAAAUUAAUUCAAGGCAAAUGCUUCAGGGAGUGGGGUAUUAAAACCUGUAUCAGAGCUAACAGUAUUAUAUGAAAAGCAGAAAACAAAUACUUAGCAGGUAGGGGAAGACACGUGAGUAUCACAGAUUAUGUAAAAGCCACAUUCAGUGACUGUUUUAGGGUCAGCAGUAAACACCCUUGAGGGCUAAAGAGAUCUGAUGAGCUGGGGGCCUCUGCUUUUGAUUUCUGUACUUUGUCUUUAAAUCAAGUUGCUAAUUCAUGCUCCUUAUCACAUAAUGCCAUGACUUUUACAGCAGUCAGCAGGGAUGGGGCCCUGUUUCUGUACAGCAGCUGAAGAAAAUGUCAAGUACCAACACACRCACUGCUCCCUCGAUACAAAUUAGCUGAUCACAUAAAUGGGGAAACGGAGAACUCUGACCCUGUUAGMGCAGAAUGUGGAUAGUGGAUUAACACUCCAGACUUCUAAUUAAUUUCAGUGUGUCUCAUCCUUCUGAYUGCAGCUGACUAUGCCAUUCUUCUCACUUAGGCCCAACAGCUGUCCAGUAUUAACACUUAUCUGUGAAUCCAUCUCCUAGUUCAGCUGCUGGCUGACAGACAAWGGUGCAAUCCUGAAUGUUUCAAAAGCACAUUUCACAAAGACUCACAAACAUCCUUAUAUGUGAACUAUACUUUUAUUGUGUGAAUACUCUAAAAAAUCCCAUAGAUCUUAAAUUCUAAAAACUCAGUAACACUGCACUGCUUAUGCUAUUUUCCCAUACAGAAAAWAGUACAGACCAGUACCGAUCAUAGCUUUUUUCUUCUAUAACAUGCACAAAAUAUUUCAUACAAACUACAGUAGCAUCAAAGUUUUACAGCUUUAGUGAAAUGGGAAUUCCAAAAUUUCUUACAUACACACCAAAUUUAUUUGAAGAUGACACAGAUUAAUCUAAAUUUGAURUUACUUCUCAGGUAAAAUUUGUAUAUCAUUGAACUGCUACAAGAGAUACAUAUUUAGCUACUUAUUUUUAAUCCAACUUUUAGAUCAYGUUUUAAGAGGAGUACUGCAAAUGCAUUGAAGCCAUUGAGUCAAGAGACACCAUGCAGAUCCCACAAAAUAUUUCAGUAAUAGGAUCUCUCUUCUCAGUCUUAAGGCAUCUGAAAUUCAAAACAAAAGCCAAACUAAGAAAUUCUGAAAUUCUCUCCACAGAAAGACACUACAUUAUGUUAUUAUAACAUACUACAGUAUGUUAUUUUCAAAAAGAACUAUCUUAAGGCAAUGUGCCCCUCCUACAGGCUGCAAACCACAGCUAUCCUCCCCUCACCUGUUUUGGUUCCUAAAAUKUAAGAAAGAAAUCUCAGUGAWGGAAGAAAAUAUGGGUAMUUGUACAUAUUCAGACAAAAGAAUGAGAUUAUAGAAAUUUAAUCUAAAAUCUACAGACUCUAAACAAACUCCAUGCAAUAUGCUUUUAUUAUUCAUAAAAGGAGUUCCCUUGCUUGUUUCCCACUACAGAAAAACAGCAAUGGACUGUGAUUCUUCGGUUAUCUAUAAAGCUGYGGAAAAAAUAAGGGAAUGAAAAGCUAACUGAAUUUGUUCCACAGCACGACAGGAUUGUCAACCCACAAGGAUAUCA